rnacentral:rRNA from 1 species
AUUGAACGCUGGCGGCAGGCCUAACACAUGCAAGUCGAACGAGUGGCGGACGGGUGAGUAAUGUCUGGGAAACUGCCCGAUGGAGGGGGAUAACUACUGGAAACGGUAGCUAAUACCGCAUACCAUCGGAUGUGCCCAGAUGGGAUUAGCUAGUCGGUGGGGUAAAGGCUCACCUAGGCGACGAUCCCUAGCUGGUCUGAGAGGAUGACCAGCCACACUGGAAAUGAGACACGGUCCAGCCUACUAGGGUAGGCAGCAGUGGGGAAUAUGGACCAAUGGUGGGAAGCCUGAUGCAGCCAUGGGGCGUGUAUGAAGAAGGCCUUCGGGUUGUAAAGUACUUUCCGCGGGGAGGCGUUACCCGCAGAAGAAGCACCGGCUAACUCCGGGCCAGCAGCCGCGGUAAUAC